rnacentral:lncRNA from 1 species
GAUAAGGAGGAUGGUAAGAGAGAGAGGCAGGAGGAUUUCUUCCUCUUGCCCUCCCUGCUUCAGUGCAGCAUCUCUGACACCAUCAGCAUCCUCAGGGUUGCAGCUUUGUCAAGUGGCCCUUCCUCCAGGACUGCGUCUCUCCCUAGACCUAUAGCACUAUUUCCCCCAUGUUCCACUUCAGAGCCAAGUGGCAACAGCUCCCCACUGUUGCUAGUCUCUCAGUGCCUCAACAUAUCUCUUACCAUUAUCCAUCCCUCUGCAGGUAGCCCUUUCUUGAAAAUUUCUUCAUGGAGACACCUGACUGAGUUCUGUUUCCUUCCAGGAUCUUUCUGCUCCUCCCUCUUCCCCCUCCUGCUCCUCCUCCUCACCUCCCACUCCCUACCCUACCCCAACAUUCCCUUCUAAAACAGGCCAAGCAGCUAAGGGAGUUGCAUCUUUGGAACACUCUUGCCACAAUGGAUGUGAAGAACACCUAUAAGGUGAGAAGCCCAACUUUUCUCUCUAAGGUGAAUUGCUCCACUCUGACCUGAAGGAGAGUCAUUUGCCUUCUCUCUGUGCACACUUCUGAGGCUUCUCCCUAGGUUAUUGGGUUAAUCAAAUCUCUUUCUUCCUCCAGGAAGGAACUGAGGCUGCUCCCGCAUUUCACAUACCACUUUAUGGCAGAUGGGAACCGGAAGUCACUGAUCAGUCAGUCCUUCCUAGCACUGGUGCCAAGAAAAGAAAGCACCUGGGUUUAAUUACCAAGCCCAAGGAGAGUCCUGGGAACGUCUAGUCUCCGUGCCACCUUCAGAUUGUCUCCUUUACUUGGUGGUUUGAUUACCAUAUCUGUCAAAUACAUCUUUUAAACAAAUCAUCACAAUCCGGGAUGCUCUUAGCUAUUCUUUAAACAACUAAACUCUGCAGCCAAGACAAUGGCAUCCACCUUCCAAUUUUCAUUCUUUGUUUCAUCUGCAAACCAUUUGCCUUUGAAGAAAGUAACUGAGUAGUUACAACUUUCUGAUCCAUCUGUUAUUAGCUGAACUUGUAGGGCCCCAACUGAAUGAUUCUGCAAAUCUUCCCAACCCCUUUCCAUGCACAUGCAAAAACAUACACACACAAACAUACUCACAUAGUCACAACCCAACACAGUGCCUAUUUUGCAAGAUAAUAUUAGAACUGGAAAAAGAGCUAGAGAAACAAAAGAAAAACUUCAAUUACAAGAAGGUUUACAGCCCUAAUUUCUCUCUUUCAUAAUGGGGCAAAAUCAGACAUAUUCAAGUGUCAGAGAAAAGAUAUUGACCACUGUUUCUAGCAAUUUUUCUGGGUUUAAGCUUGGUAAUUCAUACUUUCGUAUAUAAUAACUAUGUUUCUUUACUGAUAUAAACCCUAUAAGCAUACGUCUUUUGAACAAACUCUAAAGGUGAUG